CCUACGGGUGACAGCAGUGAGGAAUAUUGGUCAAUGGACGAAAGUCUGAACCAGCCAUGCCGCGUGAAGGAAGACGGCCCUAUGAGUUGUAAACUGCUUUUGUCAGAGGGUAAAUCCCGAUACGUGUAUCGGGAUGAAAGUAACGUAAGAAUAAGGAUCGGCUAAAUCCGUGCCAGCAGCCGAGGUAAUACUGAGGAUUCAAGCGUUAUUCGGAUUUAUUGGGUUUAAAGGGUGCGUAGGCGGUUCGAUAAGUUCGUGGUGAAAUCCCGGGGCUCAAAUCCGGCACUGCCUUUGAAACUGUCGGUCUAGAGUGUAGUUGCGGUAGGCGGAAUGUAUGGUGUAGCGGUGAAAUGCAUAGAGAUCAUACAGAACACCGAUUGCGAAGGCAGCUUACCAAACUACGACUGACGUUGAGGCACGAAAGCGUGGGUAGCAAACAGGAUUAGAUACCCUUGUAGUC
rnacentral:rRNA from 1 species